AGAAUCAACGCUGGCGGCGUGCCUAACACAUGCAAGUCGCACGAGAAAGGGUAGCAAUACCUGAGUAAAGUGGCGCACGGGUGAGUAACACGUGAAUUAUCUACCUCCGAGUGGGGAAUAACUGAGAGAAAUCUUAGCUAAUACCGCAUAACACUUACGAGUCAAAGCAGCAAUGCGCUUGGAGAGGAGUUCGCGGCAGAUUAGUUAGUUGGCGGGGUAAUGGCCCACCAAGACGAUGAUCUGUAUCCGGCCUGAGAGGGCGCACGGACACACUGGAACUGAGACACGGCCCAGACUCCUACGGGAGGCAGCAGUGGGGAAUAUUGCGCAAUGGGCGAAAGCCUGACGCAGCGACGCCGCGUGGGGAUGAAGGCCUUCGGGUUGUAAACCCCUUUCAGCAGGGACGAAGCGAAGUGACGGUACCUGCAGAAGAAGCGCCGGCUAACGUACGUGCCAGCAGCCGCGGU
rnacentral:rRNA from 1 species